GUGCUUUCUUUUACAGCUCUGUGCAAAUCUUGUUACGCAUAAAACAAGCCACGCUUUCAGGACGGAUGCCUGGGCUUCCGUACGGUACCAGACAGUACGGUGUGAAGGGAGCCGACUGCACCGUAUACCAGGUAUGGCUUUCCGACACCUCGUCUUCCUGGUGUACUCGGGUAUACACGUUGAAGGAAUGUAAAGAAAGUUGUCUGCAGAAGUAACGUCGGUGGAAGUGCUGGGUAACGACUCAGAACAGAGCUUCGCAGUGGCCGCCGCUUCGGUUCUUCACCGUUUUCUCGUCACCCUGUCUGGUUCGGAAAUACCUGCAUCGACUCCCGUACUCACGCAUCCGCGUGAUCCGGGAACCUUCUGCGGCACCGAUGGCGCCGACGUCGACGACUGGCUGGAGAUGUAUGAGCGGAAGAGCGCAUGUGUGGUUCCAAAACCACGACGAACUUCGUGACUGGGCGACCUUCAAGCCGAAGCUGCGAGAUCUCUUCGGAAAACCACUGGGUCGGAAAGUCGUCGCCAAGAACGAGUUGGCAUCACGAGUUAAUUACUACGACACGAACCCUUAAAUACAAAGUAUGAAAUC